AUACGGAGGGUGCAAGCGUUAUUCGGAUUUAUUGGGUUUAAAGGGUGCGCAGGCGGACCUGUCAGUCAGUGGUGAAAUCCCGGGGCUCAACCCCGGAACUGCCAUUGAUACUACAGGUCUUGAAUACGGUUGAAGUAGGCGGAAUGUAGCAUGUAGCGGUGAAAUGCAUAGAUAUGCUACAGAACACCGAUCGCGAAGGCAGCUUACUAAGCCGAUAUUGACGCUCAGGCACGAAAGCGUGGGGAGCGAACAGGAUUAGAUACCCUAGUAGUCC
rnacentral:rRNA from 1 species